rnacentral:rRNA from 1 species
GGUGAACGCUGGCGGCGUGCUUAAGACAUGCAAGUCGAACGGCAGUCUUCGGACUGUAGUGGCGCACGGGUGAGUAACGCGUAACUGACCUACCCCAAAGUCGCGGAUAACGAUUCGAAAGAAUCGCUAAUACGUGAUGUGCUGUCAGAUUGUGUUCUGCCAGUAAAGAUUGAUUGCUUUGGGAUGGGGUUGCGUUCCAUCAGCGGGUUGGUGGGGUAAAGGCCCACCAAGGCGACGCCGGAUAGCCGGCCUGAGAGGGUGGCCGGCCACGGGGGCACUGAUAAGCGGGUCCAACUCCUACGGGAGGAAGCGUUUAGGAAUCUACCACAAUGGGCGAAAGCCUGAUGGAGCGACGCCGCGUGAGGGAUGAAGGUCUUCGGGUCGUAAACCUCUGAAUCAGGGACGAAAGACACUUCGGUGGGAUGACGGUACCUGAGUAAUAGCACCGGCUAACUCCGUGCCAGCCGCCGCAGUAACAC